UGGAAAUUCAACAAGUUCGUUCUCGUAAUUACAGCCAUAGACAAAAACGGUCACUAUAUUGGAUGUUCUAGCUCUAAACCGACCUGGAAGAGAACAAAAUAUUCAACAUUAUACUAUUAAUUACAUUAUCAUAUAACAUCGAAAUUCAGAAACAAUUAUUAACCAACUUACAUUUAAUUGAAAAAAUCCGUAUCCUGAAGGAGCUCUGCUAACAAGUCGCCUGACGCUCGCCAUCUUGACGACUAGCGCACUCACUUUUUUCAUCCAAAAUCAAGUUCGAUCUACCCAAAAGGAAGUUCAACUUGAUUUUGGGUGAAUUAAACUUAUUAUCAGGUUUAUUUAAAGUUGUGAAUUGUUUGACAAGUAUUUAUCGUUUUUUUUUCGGACAUUAUUUUGACUUAUACAUAGUUUGUUACCUGUUAAUAAUACGUAAAUGGAUAUAUGGUGGCAUAUGAAUAAUUGAAAAAUACUUAUCAAAAUAUCGAAGUUGCAAACUACUCUAAUUUAGGUUGCAUGGAUAUAACCAGAAAUUUAAGUUCAAAUUACCUAAUGGUAAGUUCAUGUUUUAACCUAAUGUGGAGUUCAAGGCUCGAACUAUAAUUUUGCGUGAAAUCGAACCUGAGUUUGAGUUGUUUGAUCUAACCGUGUAGGAUAAAAUGGCAGAAAAUAAACGAUCUGUGGUCUGGGAGUUUUUCGUUGAAAUAGACGACGGCCAUCGUGCUAGAUGUGUAGAGUGCAAUGCUACGAUUUCUCGCGGUGGUACUGGCAAAGCGGCAACAAAUUCGGCAAUGAUAAAUCAUUUGAAAAAGCAUUCCGACGCGUUCCGCAUUUACCGAGAAAAAGAAGAAAAGCGUAAGGUCAAUAAAACGGUAACAGAUCUUUCUCAACCGACUAUCCAGCAAAGUUUCUCCGGUAAUAUCAAUUGGGACGAUAAUUCAGUGGAAGCAAAAGAGAUAACCAAAUUAAUCGCCGAAAUGAUUGUAUUGGAUCACCAGCCAUUGUCCAUGGUUCAGGAUCAAGGGUUUUUGCGACUCAUGGUGAAACUUCAGCCGAAGUACAAGGUUCCUAGUAUGAAACACUUCAAAUCCGUAGUAUUACCGACGAUGUACGAAAAGUGCAAGAAAGCAAUUACACAGAAAAAAAUAAAAUUGUUUUGCUAAAUAUGUAGUACUUUACAAUUGAAAAGUGCUCUAUUUUGAUCAAAUUAAGAGUAAAAUUGUUCAUCAUAAAAGUUAGAUUAUCAUUCGUAAAGUUUGUUUUGUCAGUUCUGUUUAUAUAUUUGAAAGUUCGUACUUUUACUAAUAAAACUGUAGAACUGUCAAAUUUCACACGAAAAUUCAUCAAAAGGUAUAACAGACCGGGACACCUCAAGAAAAAAUAAAUACAUAUCAUUUCAAAUUAACAUAUUUUCAGUUUUGAUACAUUUCAUAUCACAAGGUAAAAACACUUUGAAAUGUAUCAAAAUGUGUUCUAAUAAUUAUUGAACUAUUGUUUAGCUCUAAACCUGCAUGAAGGCAUUCGAAAUUAGCAACAUACUUUUUAAUAGUAACAUGCAAUUCCAGUUAUGUCAAAUAAUCCGAAAUAAUUUCUCAGGGUGUAUUUAUCCGCAGUCAGUUAAGUUUAGUCUUCACACUUCGCGCUCCCGUUUUUAAGUUGUUUUAGCCGUCGCGAAUCGCAUUUAUUUGCUAAACAGAAAUUUAAAACCCUCAAACAUCUCGAGCUAAAAUUUCCAUUGAUGGAAUGGAAACUAUACAGCAGUACCACUACCGGUGAAAGCUUCAUUUAGGACAAGGCGGUUACCCAUAAAGAGCAGAACAUCACCCUUUGUUGUUUUCAUGUACCAGAACUACCAAACAGUUUUCGAAAACGAGAAUAAAUCGGUCGAAGAAUGAUUGACCGCCACAGUAAUCAACAACCAGUGUUCAUAAGAGUGAAUGCAUCAAAACCAGCUUACAGAGGUCCAGAAUUGCAUCUAAGCUUUCAUGGCCAGAAUAUGGCCGAUCGCGACACCGCGACACGAGCCGUCGCAAAUCUAUGCUGGCGUUCGGGCCCAAAGAGAACUGUUUCAAAGAUGUCAAACACGGAGAAACUGGAUACCUCUCGGACUUGAAAGAUAAGUUGUUUUUUCUGACCUUGUCGGGGCAUGGCGCUAUGUUCACCGAUACCUGCAAGGCGUCCCCUGAAGCCUUGAGGAAGCUGCUA